rnacentral:rRNA from 1 species
AUGCUUGUCGACACAAACAAGAGUGUCACUUUUAACCAUGUUUACGAGCUUCUCAAAUUGGUUAUAAUCCUACAAGCAGUGACAACUAGUGUUAAGAGAGUAUUCCCUUCGAUGUCUUUUGUGAAAGACAAGCUACGGAACAAAAUGGGAAUUCGACUCUUGAAUGAUUGCUUGGUUACAAUUGUUGAGAGGGAAUUUGUUUUUCAAGUGAAAGAUGAUUUUGUCGUAUCUGGCUUUCUAACCAUGAUAGAGCGUAUGAUUGUGUUGUAA